CCGCGUGCGGCCCCCACCGCCCGGCCCGAGCUGCGGCGCUGCCGGCUGCUGACAUUUCCGCGGUUAUUGCUCCGCUCCGAGCUCUGCCAUCGCCGUUACAAUGGGAACAAUUACACUCAAUUAUUCUCCACCACACCGUCGACAAAAAAAGAUGGCAUUUAAACUUUAAUUAUUCUCUCGGUGUGCGUGAGCAGCAUGGCCCGCAGCCCAGGCAGCCCCUCAGCACUGCUCCGUCUGCACCGAGCGGUGACCCCGGGAUCGUGCUGCCACCGGGGAGGGAUGGGAGGAGCCCAGCACCCACCCCGAGCCCGGCGGGGGCUGCAGGGAGCGGUCGGAGCUCAGCACCCACCACCCGCACACGUGCAGCGUGGCAUCAGGGAGGCAGUAAAUCCCAGAGCCCGGAGCAGCUGCAACUCGGAGCAGCUUUUUCCAUAAAGGCAGAGGCACGUUAUUUAAGGCUGCUCUUAAAACCUAAUGUUAGGUUUAAUAAGGGAGAUAAAAGCGUGCCAGAGGCUGUCCUGCGCGGGGCUGCGCGCUGCCGGCUGUGCAGGUGGAUGGGCCCUGCGUCCUGCUGGCACGGCCACACCAACACCCACCCCGGCGAUGCGGUGACCCCACUCCCGCUGGCACUGCCAGCAGAGGGCUGGCAUCGUGUGGGCACAGAGCCCUCGGACCCAAACACGGGGCUUUUGGCCCCAAGCAGCCUCCCCCGCUGUGCCCCUCCCCCUCCCCCCCCCCCCAUGCUGACCUCCCCCCACCUGCCCCCGCACGCAGGGCGUGUGCCAUCUCAUUAGUGUGUCUGUCCCCCAAAGUGAGAAGGGAGAGAGCGUGAGACCUAAUUGAAUGUAACUAAUUAUUCACUCUGCAAAUGCUGUUUAAAUGGGAUUGUGAGGGACAAAAUUACUCAUUCUGAAAAGGGGAGAGAAAGAGAGAAAGACAGAGAGAAAACAAAUAGAGGCGGGUGCUGGAGCUGCAGCUCCCUCUCUCCCCAGAAUACCAAUUACCGGAUGAAGUGAUUGUAUAAAUCUUUACCGAGUGAACGAACUGUAGUAGUCACUUACUUCUGUCCUCUUAUUACACGGAAGCAAUGAAAAAUCGUCCCUCUCUGCAGUCCAGUUAAGGGCUCCCAGGCGCUGUGCGAUGCUCUCUGCACGGCUGCGCAGCUCGGCCCCGGCGUGCGUCGGGGUGAUGACCCUACAGACGUGGGGCCAAGCACUUGGCACUGGGCUGGGCCCACUGCUCACGGCCCACACGGGUGCAGCAUUGGCAUGCACAGGGCUGGGGGAUCCCAGACCCCGUAUGGCACACAUCUGCCUGCUUCCACGCAGGGUGCUGUGGGUGGGCUGUGGUCACAGCAGUGCUGUGCCACCAGCAGCCCAAGCCCCUCGAGCCCUCCAUCCCCGGGCCCACAUGGCUCAGAUACAUGUUGAGGAUGCACUGGAGGAGUUGAGCUGUUGGGUCUCUCCAAGCAGCCCCGUGGCCAGACAGUGGAGGGGUGGAGGGCUGAGGGAACCCGCAGGCUGUCUUGCCUUGUGCUGGAUGGGAUCUGGCUGCUGCCGGCAGCAAGCUCCCAUGCACUGCGUGGGUGUGAGGGAGUGAUAACAUCAUCAUCAUCAUAACAAAUGCAGCUGUGCAGCUCCAUUCUGUGCUUAUUGGCUUUCUUCUGUUUAUCUAUAAAUAAUUGUGGGGACACAAUAGACUUUUAAGACUGCCGAAGAGUUCGUCUCCCUCCAGGAACCGUAUUGCCACAGUGCUGCCACCUUAUCUGCUCGUAGAAAGAUGAGGGUGGGAAAAAUAUUUACUGUCGGGGAUAUUUGUCAUCUGCAAAUUACCUCUGCCUACAGCCUGCAGCGGGAGCAGGGCUGACAGCUCCCAGCUGCACCGCAGGAACACGAGCACUGUGUUCUCCAUGCAGCCCCAGCCCCACCCGAGCCCCCCCAUGGGCCAGCACUGUGCACACGGGUCCAACCCUAGCAAUGCACUCUGCCUGCUGCCCCCAGCCCCGAUCCCAUUGCAUCCCACCCGUCUGCAGCGCAGCGCUUCCACGCAGCACUUAUCACUGCUGUAUCCAAGAACAGAUCUAAUUGAUGUGACACCAAUUAUUCAAGUAUCACUAAACGCAGAACUAAUGCAUCUCUGUGUACAAACCUCCUAGCCCCUGACCAUGAAAUUAUAACUCUGACGUGGAAGGAGCCAGCAUGAGAGAGCCAACUCUGGGCUGGCGCUGCCAGGAUGCUGUCAGCUGCACGGAGGUGCCCGCAGCCCCUCUCGCUGCAGGAGAGCAGAGCCCUGCUGGAUGGGCAGUGCCAGACUUGGGCAGCAUCAGCCCAGCGGUGCAUGGACGGCACGUGGAGCUGCGUGCUCUGCAGGCAGCACAAGAAUUGUUUCUAGACUGCUCAGCAGCUAGCAAGGCUCUUGGCUUGGAUGUGGACUGGUGCUGGGAAAGGCCAUUUGUGGCAUCUGAAACCUUACUGUGAAAUUAAGCUAUGCCUGGACACACACAGCUCGCCAUAGCGGCAGUUUGCAUUUUGUAAAUUGCUUUUUGCGUUAAAUGAAAGGGAUGGCUGAUAGCCCCGUGGGGGCAGAGCCCCGCACCCCGUGUCGCACCGCAGCCCCCAGCAUCCCUGGGGCAGCAGCCCCAGCACUCCCACCCAUGCUGGGGGACACAGCACGGGGCAAAGCUCUGCCUCCUCCGGGCACAUCUGGAUGUGCUGCUCAGAUGGCCGAGGGCUCGUCCCACUUCUGCUUCGCUCAAUGUUUUCAUUAAAGACCCAGGUGAUGGAAUAGAGAAAGCGCUUAUUAAAUUUGCAGAUGACACGAAGCUGGGAGGGACUACAAGUAUCUUGGAGGACAGGAUUGGAAUUCAAAAUGAUCUUGACAAAUUGGAGAAAUGGACUGGAAAGAAUAGGAUGAAAUUCAACAGGGAUGAGUGCGAGGUACUGCACAGUGAUGGGAACCGGCGGCAGAGCAACCAGCCUGGAGACAGCAGGGGGACUGCGGGGCACCCCGCCAUCCCGGGGCCAUGCCCAGGGCCCCCCUGCUGCCUUCCCAUCGCUCCAGCAAUUAGAGCUCCCGCCAGCACCCUCCGCCUGUGCAAACACCCGAGACUCAUUUAAAUAAAUUAAGAAGACAUAAUAAAUCAAAGGGAAAUGAGGGGCUGUGCCUGGGGGCAGGGGAGUCACUCGAGUUUAAUUACAUUGGCAAAGCUGCUGCAGCCGGCACGGCGCGUCCCAUGCACUGCUCUGCAUGGGGGGCAGGCAGGCAGGCAGGCACACACCCAGCACCCAGUGCCCAGCACCCAGCACUUGGCCCAGCCCUCAGCACCCAGCACUCAGCACCUGGCCCAGCACAGUGCCCCGCAGCCACCCAGAGAUUGACGGCGCAUCCCUCGCCGCUCAGCCGCUCUCAUUGGUGCCUUUGGAAAGAGCUCCAUGUAGAGGCAGCAAAUUUAUGAGACUGGCGCUGAAUCCCCCCGUCACAUCAGAGGCCAAUUCGUCUUCCCAGGGCUGAGGAUGAAAUUAAAUUAUUGUAAAAUAAAUCUGUAAAAAUGAUGAAAAGAGCAUCGCCCGGCAGCCGGGGCGGGACGUGGGAACACACGCACAGCCGUGACGGAUGGGGCUCACUGGGUGAUAAAGUGCCCGGGACCCGGCAGCUCAGGGAUUUCUGCUGUAAUCUCACUAAAGAGAUGUUGUUUACAGGAAAAAGGGUAUUUUGGGGGAGGAAAUUGCAUUUCAAGGUUAAAGGGAAAAAAAAUGGAGCGAGCCUCGCAAGGAGCCCACUUACGUGCAAGACGGUGGCGGAGACAGAUGAGCACGUGGGUGCCAGGCAGUGGGGCUGGGGCAUGGGCUGCACCUUGCACACGCACGUGCCAAGGGCCAAGGGCGUGCAAGCUGGGAGUUGCUGCUUCCCAGUUGCAGCCCCAUCCUACAAGAAAGAUGCCGGGCAGAUUAUUUUUUGCUGGUACAACUGGAAAAAAAGAAUGAUUUCGUAUUACUCUGCGUUGGCUGGCCACUUAACAAUAGGCCAUUAGCACAGCUCAGCAUGGGGAAGGGAUUUAUUUAGGACACACGGUCGCAAAGACAACCCGGCACCAGGUGCUUAAUAGUGUUUUGGAGGUAUCAGAGUGUUGCAGCGCUCAGAAAAUGCAGCUGUAGGGAGUUCAGAGACUUUAUUCUUCACUCCUGCAAAAUCCCACAAUACCAGCAGAGAUUUCUCAACUCUGCCCUAAGCACAAAAGCAGCGUGGAGAAAGCAGCGGCUUUCUGGGGAUGAAGUGCCAACCUGCUCCUGGCCACAGCACGUCCCAUCGCCCAGCACUGCCCUGCUGCUCGCAGCCCCCACAGGUCCAGGUUGUUCUGGUGCCACCCGCACCCCUUCCAGGGCUCCUCAAGGCAGCCAGCUCCUGGUGCUCCCCAUCCCAUUGGGGCUCAGGCUGAUGGAUGGGAGCAGAACCAGGGGAACACACUGCAGGGCAGUGGGAUGGGGGGUGGAGGGCAGAAGGAUGGGGGCAGCAGGAUGGGUG
ensembl:lncRNA